rnacentral:rRNA from 1 species
ACUCCUACGGGAGGCAGCAGUGGGGAAUAUUGCGCAAUGGGGGAAACCCUGACGCAGCAACGCCGCGUGAAGGAUGAAGGUUUUCGGAUUGUAAACUUCUUUGAUUGGGGACGAAGAAAUGACGGUACCCAAAAAACAAGCCACGGCUAACUACGUGCCAGCAGCCGCGGUAAUACGUAGGUGGCGAGCGUUGUCCGGAAUUACUGGGUGUAAAGGGCGUGUAGGCGGGAAUGUAAGUCAUAUGUGAAAUUCCAGGGCUCAACCCUGGCGCUGCAUCUGAAACUAUG